AUUGAACGCUGGCGGCAUGCCUUACACAUGCAAGUCGAGCGGCAGCGCGGGGGCAACCCUGGCGGCGAGCGGCGGACGGGUGAGUAAUACAUCGGAACGUGUCCUGUCGUGGGGGAUAACCAGUCGAAAGACUGGCUAAUACCGCAUGAGAUCGAAAGAUGAAAGCGGGGGCGCAAGGCCUCGCGCGAUUGGAGCGGCCGAUGUCGGAUUAGCUAGNGGCGGGGGUAAAAGCCCACCAAGGCUACGAUCCGUAGCUGGUUUGAGAGAACGACCAGCCACACUGGGACUGAGACACGGCCCAGACUCCUACGGGAGGCAGCAGUGGGGUAAUUUUGGACAAUGGGGGCAACCCUGAUCCAGCCAUGCCGCGUGUGUGAAGAAGGCCUGGUGUAAG
rnacentral:rRNA from 1 species